UAUACACAAGAAAAACGAAGGAGACGAAGAAGAAGAUUAAUCCACCUCUACCCUUCAGUGCGCGUUCUGUUGCUUGAACAUUGUCAUUCUGGCGUCAAGCCAAUCCCAUGAACGGCUAUACACUGCUGCAGUCGUCCUUGUACAUAAUAUACCUUCUUCACUUCCUCUUAUUCUUCCGAUAACUUGGCUAUAGGAAGAAAUAGAUGCCGAGCUGUAGGUAUAUAAAUAGGGCAUUAGAUGCGCGUCGUGUAAUAUAAAGUGGCACUAUAGUCACUGCAGACGACGUCGGAUAGUAGCAAAAAAGAAAUCUCAUUCCCGACAAAUCUACUAAAUUGUUUUCCUAUCUUUUAUUUUUUCCUAUUUUGUCGCUCCGUCAGAUAGGUCUUAUAUAGCCAUGCAGCUCUUACAUUUCUUAUAGGUCUCUUGCACGGUUUCUUAGAUUUCAUUUUAGCAAAAUAACAUUUAGGUGCAUGGGCCCUAUUAUGGGUUUAAUGGCAGACAUUCUGACUCCCUCGGCUGGUUCCUAAAUUGCAAGGCAGUAUUCGAUUUGGAUAACUAAGAUCAAUGGAACAACGGCAGAGAUUAUGUCGUCCAAAUAAAGGUUAUAAAAAAAGAAACAGCAAAUUAUUUAUUUUGUCAAAGAGAUUAAGGUUCCCUAGAAAAGCAUUUAUGUAUUUUAUUAACAAAGCAUUAUUUCCGGAGCUGGAAUAGAGAUAACUUUGUGUAGUCUUCGACUUAUUAUUUUUUUAUUAUUUCACAUGGCCUUAUAUAAGACGGUCUCGUCUUAUUUGUCAAUGUGAUUCCGCAAUCUAUUCCGGGCUUCCGGCGAUUUCUUAAAUCCAUCAGACAUCACCAAUUUGUGUGUUAUUAGGCAACUAUGGAAAAUUGAGAAAGCAGACGAGCCUUGAUCUUUCCAAUGGCGGGGUGAUGCCUAGAAAUACAAGCAUGGUAAAGACAAAGGAUUAUUGGGCAUUCAUAAAACCAGAGAAAAUACUUUUUUUGUUUUCUUGUGAAAUGGUGUCGCCUUUAAAAAUAACAUUAUUGGAUUGACUGUGCAGUCUUAGCAUAAGUUAAAUUGCCUAGGGAAUAGCAGAGGCUUAAAGGUUUUGCUUUUUGCAAUGAGAAAUUGUUAUUAAAGGCUUAAAAACCUGAUCCAAAUUAAAUUGUUCAGCCAGUUGAUGUAUCCCAACUCAUUUCCUUUUCGUGAAAGAACAACAUGAUGGAAUCUAGUCUUUUGGUGAAGAGAUGCAUGGUCAUAAUCCUGAAGCUGCUAGCAAAAUUUAUGUGCAACAAGUCAACCAACAGUGAGAAUAACGGCAGCUUAUGUUUAUUGGCUGACUUCAAUUGAUUAAGUUUUAGCUGUUGUUUUUAUUAUAAAUUCGAAACGUACCGAGGUCACCAUAGUACGCACUGUUCACGAUCAGACGUCGCAGAGGGCUUUCAUUCCUCUUCCAAACGAAAACCGUAACUGUUAAGCUCCCGUCCGAAAACCGUGACCGCCGCUCGAAGUUCCAUUUUCCGUGGAACUUUCUGCGUGAAAGCCGUCAAGACGCGCAUCAGCGACAAAGACCUAAUCGUUCAUCGAACCUUGACUGAUGGUAAACCCAUCGAUUUCCACCAAAACAAGCCAGGCAAAGGAAAGGCCAAGAACCGGAUGCCUCUUCCCAGUUUGAUGCGAAAGUCGACCCUCUCCAUUCGUUUGAUGCUGAAGGAAUUCCGUCUCCAGCUGCUGAACUACGCCUACGACUCCCUAAUGCACAUCGUCAAAGACAGUAUGGUUCGUUUGGAAAGCUAAAACCACGAUGAAACUUAUUACUUAUGGGCCGUAAAGUUUUUCAUGAAGUUCGCAAUUGCGGCGAAUUCCGGGCCGAGUUGGUCAGCCAUAAGACGAUUUCGACCCAAACGUAUUCGGAAUCGAUUUUUAGUGUACAAGAAGAAAGCUGCUCUGUGGUCCCGUCGCCUCAACGUCGUUCUGUGCGCCUACCAGGAGUUAUUGAUGACGCUCAACGGCUCUGAAUCCAUCCUCAAUUCGUCUGGAGCCCUAAAAGCAACGUCUUUUAUGUGCCAGAGUAUCGCGAGAUGUGCCUCGUUGUGCUCCUCAACUACAAAGAAAAUCAACACUCGCUGACUUACCUGAAAGAUUUGGUCGAAACCAAUCACAUCUUCUUGAAACUCUUUGAACAGUUCGCUAAAAGCAAUUGGCAUCUGGCCGUCCAGAAAAAGUUC